UACACGCUGUGACUAGCAUAUCAAUAAGCGGAGGAAAAGAAACUAACUAGGAUUCCCUCAGUAACGGCGAGUGAAGCGGGAAGAGCUCAAAUUUGAAAUCUUCAAGGUUCUACCUUGACGAAUUGUAGUUUAAAGAAGUGUUUUCUGUUGGAGUUUUGGUAAAAGUUCUUUGGAAUAGGACAUCAUAGAGGGUGAGAAUCCCGUAUUUGACCAUUAUUUCCAGCUUUGUGAUACACUUUCAAAGAGUCGGAUUGUUUGGGAAUGCAGUCCAAAAUGGGUGGUAAAUUUCAUCUAAAGCUAAAUACUGGCGAGAGACCGAUAGCGAACAAGUACCGUGAGGGAAAGAUGAAAAGAACUUUGAAAAGAGAGUUAAACAGUACGUGAAAUUGUCAAAAGGGAAGCGUUUGACACCAGUGUUGUUUUCUCGAAAAUCAAUUAAAAAAGGCAGGAUUUUGUGUUGUAUUGACUUUAUCAGCUUUCUGCACUCCUUUCUUGUCUUUUUUAAUGCACUUUUCGUUUAACAAGUCAACAUCAAUUUCUUUUGUUGUAAAAGGGUCAUUGAGAAGGUGGCUUUCUUUUCGGAGAAAGUGUUUAUAGCCUUUGGCCUCUGCAAUCGGAGAGAUUGAGGUCUGCAGCGUAGAUCCUUCGGGGUUAGAUACAUUUGUGCUAAGUUAUAGCCUUUCAUAGACAACUUGUUGACUAUGAUCAGUCAUGUAGCUUACUCGCUUAUGCUAUUUUACCUACGCUUAGGAUGUUGAAGACUCUACAGAGAUA
rnacentral:rRNA from 1 species